AAGUCGUAACAAGGUUUCCGUAGGUGAACCUGCGGAAGGAUCAUUAACACGUAUCCAAACGUUAAAACCCCUCCCGUGAACCUUCAUCCUCCCGGAAAGUUGUAGUGAUUCAGAGACCCCUGGCUACGUGCGAACAUUGGAACAGUUACAAUCGAGCGGUAGUUCUAUAGGCAAUGUUUCCCCAAGCAGUCAGUGUCGGAAAGUGUCAUUGAUUGUGCAAGGAUAGCGCUUCUACGAUUCCUGUAGACCGUACACUCGGGCAGGAGCUUUGCCAAAGGGUCCCCAUGCCCCCUAAUAACCCCACAGUUUAAUGUGAAGCUCAAUGUAAUACAUUGGGUAAAAAAACCGAACAACUGUUAACAAUGGAUAUCUUGGUUCUC
rnacentral:misc_RNA from 1 species